rnacentral:rRNA from 1 species
UUGUGCGGCCAUACUACUCUGAGAAAAUCCAGGGACCAUGGCCUGGUUCAUACUUGGAAGGGAGACCAACUGGGACUACGAGGUACCGUAAACU